UGCUAGUAUCAGCCCCAAAAAGGCCAGGUGGCUACCUGAGCUAGUUGUAUUGGGAGUUUGCUUUGCAAAGGUACGGGAGAAUGGUAUGGGAAGGAAGAACCACGAGAGGGGGACCCUGAGCUGCUCUGGGGAUAUCACCCACUUGUUUGUUGAAGGUCAUGUAAAUCUUACAGUAAGCGAGAAACUAACACAGUGGUGAACUCUAUAGAAGUGGUGGAACUGAAUAAUGAAUGAGUAAAUGAAUGCCAAGGAAGUUUUAUCCACCCUGGAACCUGUCAGCCUGUAACAUUUUGUGCCUAAGGCAUUGCCUGGAAGUUCAGCUCCACUUUUGCCAUCAGCUCAGGUAUAGGUGGAAAAUGCUCUCUUCACAAGAACAUGUGUGCUGUACAAAAGAACCUGCAAUGGCAGAAGAAGGGAGUGUAAGUAGGAAAGUUGUGACUGAAGG